GGGCCCGCACAAGCGGUGGAGCAUGUGGUUUAAUUCGACGCAACGCGAAGAACCUUACCUGGGCUUGAACUGCAAUGGACCGCGGUAGAGAUAUCGCUUUUCGCAAGAACUGUUGCAGAGGUGCUGCAUGGCUGUCGUCAGCUCGUGUCGUGAGAUGUUGGGUUAAGUCCCGCAACGAGCGCAACCCUUACCUGUAGUUGCCAGCGGUUCGGCCGGGAACUCUACAGGGACUGCCCGGGUUAACCGGGAGGAAGGUGGGGAUGAUGUCAAGUCCUCAUGGCCCUUAUGUCCAGGGCUACACACGUGCUACAAUGGGCGAUACAAACCGUUGCAAGACCGCGAGGUGGAGCUAAUCGGAGAAAGUCGCCCUCAGUUCGGAUUGCAGGCUGCAACUCGCCUGCAUGAAGUUGGAAUCGCUAGUAAUCGUGUAUCAGAAUGAUACGGUGAAUACGUUCCCGGGCCUU
rnacentral:rRNA from 1 species